rnacentral:rRNA from 1 species
CAUAGUUUUGGUCCUAAACUUACUGCUACUUUUAAUCAAAUUUACACAUGCAAGCAUCCACACACCAGUGAAAUACGCCCUAACACAGUAUAAAUGGAGCAGGUAUCAGGCACAACCGCCAGCCAAAAACACCAAGCUUUGCCACACCCACACGGGCCCUCAGCAGUGAUAAACAUUAAGCAAUAAGCGAACACACCAAACUAAAGCUUGACUUAGUUAUGAUUAACAGGGCCGGUAAACCUCGUGCCAGCCACCGCGGUUACACGGCGGGCCCAAAGCAGCAGACUCUCGGCGUAAAUAGUGGCCAGAAUAAUUACCCCCACAUUAAAAACUAAACCAUACCCUAACCGUAAAACACAGGCUAAAUGAAAUCAAGCACUUUUAAUAACAGGUAAUUUGACCCACGAAAACUAAGAAACAAACUAGGAUUAGAUACCCUACUAUGCUUAGUCGUUAAUAUGAUAUUAUAGUACUAAAAUAUCCGCCAGAAAACUACGAGCGAAAAGCUUAAAACUCAAAGGACUUGGCGGUGCUCCAUACCGACUUAGAGGAGCCUGUCCUAUAAUCGAUACCCCACGCUAAACCCCACCAAUCUUUGCCAUACCAGCCUAUAUACCGCCGUCGUCAACCCACCUCAUGAGAGAAAAACAGUGAGUACAAAAGUUCAAUAACUAAAACGUCAGGUCAAGGUGUA